rnacentral:rRNA from 1 species
GACAGAGGCCACGAACGUUGUUCGGAAUCACUGGGCAUAAAGCGCACGUAGGCGGCUAGGUCCGUCCAAUGUGAAAGCCCCCGGCUCAACCGGGGAAUUGCAUCGGAUACAGCCUGGCUCGAGGACGGUUGGGGUGAGUGGAACUCCUGGUGGAGCGGUGAAAUGCGUAGAUAUCAGGAGGAACCCCGGUGGCGAAAGCGGCUCACUGGACCGUUACUGGCACUCAGGUGCGGAAGCGUGGGGAGCAAACAGG